UUAAUAAGCGGAGGAAAAGAAACUAACAAGGAUUCCCUCAGUAACGGCGAGUGAAGCGGGAAGAGCUCAAAUUUGAAAUCUCCGAUGCCUGCAUCGGCGAGUUGUAGUUGCGAGAAGCACUUUCUAGGUGGAUCGGCGGUGCCUAAGUUGCUUGGAACAGCAGGUCGCAGAGGGUGACAACCCCGUCUGUGGCGCCGCCGGCCGCUGACGAUGUGCUUUCGAAGAGUCGGGUUGUUUGGGAAUGCAGCCCAAAAUGGGUGGUAAACUCCAUCUAAAGCUAAAUACUGGCGUGAGACCGAUAGCGA
rnacentral:rRNA from 3 species